rnacentral:rRNA from 1 species
CCCGUUCCCAUCCCGAACACGGAAGUUAAGCUUCUCAGUGCCGAUGAUACUAGGCUGGAGACGGCCUGGGAAAGUAGGUCUCUGCCAGAU